rnacentral:rRNA from 1 species
AUUGAACGCUGGCGGCAGGCCUAACACAUGCAAGUCGAACGAGUGGCGGACGGGUGAGUAAUGUCUGGGAAACUGCCCGAUGGAGGGGGAUAACUACUGGAAACGGUAGCUAAUACCGCAUACCAUCGGAUGUGCCCAGAUGGGAUUAGCUAGUAGGUGGGGUAACGGCUCACCUAGGCGACGAUCCCUAGCUGGUCUGCGAGGAUGACCAGCCACACGGGAACUGAGACACGGUCCAGACUCCUACGGGAGGCAGCAGUGGGGAAUAUUGAGCAAGGGGCGCAAGCCGGAUGCAGCCAUGCGGCGUGUAUGAAGAAGGCCGUCGGGUUGUAAAGUACUUUCAGCGGGGAGGCGUUACCCGCAGAAGAAGCACCGGCUAACUCCGUGCCAGCAGCCGCGGUAAUAC